rnacentral:misc_RNA from 1 species
AACGGUCUAUACCUGCGGUACCUGCGGAGGGAUCAUUACAUGGCGGAGAAGGUGGGCAACCUGGCCAACAUCCAGGUUGUGAUGCCUUCACGCUCCUCCACCCUUGUCUAUUUGCACCUUCUGUCGUUCCCUCGGCGGGUUUCGACCCGCCGGCGGCAACAUUGAAAAACCCUUUUUGCAGUUAGCAUUCAAUUCUUCUGAUCAAAUAUUAAAUCAUUACAACUUUCAACAAUGGAUCUC